rnacentral:rRNA from 1 species
AGUUGGUAGGGUAAAAGCCUACCAAGGCAACGAUGGUUAGCUGGUCUGAGAGGAUGAUCAGCCACACUGGAACUGAGACACGGUCCAGACUCCUACGGGAGGCAGCAGUGAGGAAUCUUGCGCAAUGGGGGAAACCCUGACGCAGCAACGCCGCGUGAGUGAUGAAGGCCUUCGGGUCGUAAAGCUCUUUUAGUGGGGAAGAAUCCCACCCGGGCUAAUACCUCGGGUGUCUGACGGUACCCACAGAAAAAGUUCCGGCUAACUACGUGCCAGCAGCCGCGGUAAUACGUAGGGAGCAAGCGUUGUUCGGAAUUAUUGGGCGUAAAGAGCGCGUAGGCGGUUCAGUAAGUCUGACGUGAAAUCCCGGAGCUUAACUCCGGAACUGCGUUGGAUACUGCCGAGCUUGAGUGUGGGAGAGGAGAGUGGAAUUCCCAGUGUAGAGGUGAAAUUCGUAGAUAUUGGGAGGAACACCCGUGGCGAAGGCGGCUCUCUGGACCACAACUGACGCUGAGGCGCGAAAGCUAGGGUAGCAAACGGGAUUAGAUACCCCGGUAGUCCUAGCCGUAAACGAUGGGCACUAGGUGUUGGAGGUAUCGACCCCUCCAGUGCCGCAGCUAACGCAUUAAGUGCCCCGCCUGGGGAGUACGGUCGCAAGACUA